GACGAACGCUGGCGGCGUGCUUAACACAUGCAAGUCGAACGGUAAGGCCCUUCGGGGUACACGAGUGGCGAACGGGUGAGUAACACGUGGGUGAUCUGCCCUGCACUUCGGGAUAAGCCUGGGAAACUGGGUCUAAUACCGGAUAGGACCACUGCCUGCAUGGGUGGUGGUGGAAAGCUUUUGCGGUGUGGGAUGGGCCCGCGGCCUAUCAGCUUGUUGGUGGGGUGAUGGCCGACCAAGGCGACGACGGGUAGCCGGCAGGGGAGGGUGACCGGCCACACUGGGACUGAGAUACGGCCCAGACUCCUACGGGAGGCAGCAGUGGGGAAUAUUGCACAAUGGGCGCAAGCCGGAUGCAGCGACGCCGCGUGUGGGAUGACGGCCUUCGGGUUGUAAACCUCUUUCAGCACCGACGAAGCGCAAGUGACGGUAGGUGCAGAAGAAGGACCGGCCAACUACGUGCCAGCAGCCGCCGUAA
rnacentral:rRNA from 1 species